CCUAGUUGAUCCUGCCAGUAGUCAUAUGCUUGUCUCAAAGAUUACGCCAUGCAUGUGUAAGUAUGAACGAAUUCGGACUGUGAAACUGCGAAUGGCUCAUUAAAUCGGUUAUAGUUUGUUUGAUGUUAACUACUACUCGUAUAACAGUAGUAAUUCUAGAGAUAAUACAUGCAACAAACCCCGACUUCUGGGAGGGAUGAAUUUAUUAGAUAAAUGGUCGACGGGGGCUCUGCCUGUUGCUCUUAUGAUUCAUGAUAACUCGCGGGAUCGCAUGGCCUUAGUACUAGCAACACAUCAUUCAAAUUUCUGCCCUAUCAACUUUCGAUGAUAGGAUAGUGGCCUACCAUGUGUGUAACGGGUGACGGAGAAAUAGGGUUCGAUUCCGGAGAGGAAGCCUGAGAAACGGCUACCACAUCCAAGGAAAGCAGCACGCGCGCAAAUUACCAAUCCUGACACGGGGGGGGAGUGACAAUAAAUAACAAAACCGGGCUCUUUUGAGUGUGGUAAUUGGAAUGAGUACAAUCUAACUCCCUUAACGAGGAUCCAAUGGAGGGCAAGUCUGGUGCCAGCAGCCGUGGUAAUUCCAGCUCCAAUAGCGUAUAUUUCAGUUGUUGCAGUAUAAAAAGCUGUUAGUUGAACCUUGGGAUGGGUCGCCCGGUCCGCCUUUGGGGCGCACCGGUCGGCUUGUCUCUUCUGUCGCGAUACGCUCCUGGCCUUUAAUGGCCGGCGUCGUGCCUCCGGUGCUUUUACUUUGAAGAAAUUAGUGUGCUCAAAGCAAGCCUACGUUCUGUAUACAUUAGCAUGGAUAACAUCAUAGGAUUCGAUCCUAUUGUGUUGGCCUUCGGGAUCGAAGUAAUGAUUAACAGGGAAAGUCGGGGGCAUUCGUAUUCCAUAGUCAGAGGUGAAGAUGUCUGGAUUUAUGAAAGACAAACAACUGCGAAAGCAUUUGCAAGGAUGUUUUCAUUAAACAAGAACGAAAGUUGGGGCUCGAAGACGAUCAGAUACCUUCCUAGUCUCAACCAUAACAGAUGCCGACCAGGGAUCAGCGGAUGUUGCUUUUAGGACUCCGGCGGCACCAUUAUUGAGAAAUCAAAGUUUUGGGUUUCCGGGGGGAGUAUGGUCGCAAGGCUGAAACUUAAAGGAAUUGACGGAAGGCACCACCAGGAGUGGAGCCUGCGCGUUAAUUUGACUCAACACGGGGAAAAUUAACAGGUCCAGACAUAGUAAGGAAUGACAGACUGAGAGAUCUUUAUUGAUUCUAUGGGAGGUGGAGCAUGGCCGUUCUUAGUUGGUAGAGCGAUUUGUCUGGUUAAUUCCGUUAACGAACAAGACCUCAGCCUGCUAACUAGCUACGUGGAGGCAUUCCUUCACGGCCGGCUUCUUAGAGGACUAUGGCCGUUUAGGCCAAGGAAUUUUGAGGCAAUAACAGGUCUCUGAUGCCCUUAAAUGUUCUGGGCCGCACGCGCACUACACUGAUGUAUUCAAACAGUUCACACCUUGGCCGACAGGCCAGGGUAAUCUUUGAAAUUUCAUCGUGAAGGGGCGAUAGAUUCUUGCAAUUGUUGGUCUUCCACGAGGCAUUCCUAGUAAGCGCGAGUCAACAGCUCGCGUUGACUACGUCCCUGCCCGUUGUACACACCGCCCGUCGCUCUUACCGAUUGAAUUAUCCGGUGAAGUGUUCGAAGCGCGGCGACGUGGGUGUUCCGCCGUCUGCGACGUCGCGAGAAGUCCACUAAACCUUAUCAUUUUUAGAGGAAGGAGAAGUCGUAACAAGGUUUCCGUAAGUGAACCUGCGGAAG
rnacentral:rRNA from 1 species